GUGUUCACUUUGGCAGCACUUAUACUGAAAUUGGAACAAUACAGAGAAGAUUAACAUGGCCCCUGUGCAAGGAUGGUACACAAAUUCAUGAGGCAGUCCAUAUUUUU